rnacentral:sRNA from 1 species
AUGCAAUCGCUCAUCUCACUGUUGGGAGUGGGGGAAAGUUGGAAAAAGGAUCUUGUUUUCAUAUAACAGUGUGAAGGAAUGAUUUUGAUUGUGAGGGCUAGGGAAGUUGAGCUCUCAAACUCACAGAAGGGAAAGCAGGAAAUAAGGAAACUGCUUAAACCAGCAAAAUAAAAGAAAAAAAGAUGAAAUAAUAAUGUGAAAUAAAUAGUGUAAGAUAAAAAAGAAUAAAAUCAGAUAAUAGUGGUUAUUACUCUAAAGACGAAUGGACUAAAUUCUGUCAAACUAGGUUUAAAAAUAACAGUUAAAUGCUCUUACAAUAUUGAAAAUGAAGGGGCAUGCCAAGAACUAGCAGGCAACAGCUGAUAAAUUUAAGAAAUGAAGCACUACUUUCAGAUAAGAUUGAAUUUAAGAUUGGAAUAUAAUCAAAUCUUAAAUGAGAUAAAGAGGGGUAUUAUCUGAUGACAAAAGAUACAGUUUAAGAUAAUAUGAAAGCCAUCAUACAAAAUAGCAACUGUAGUAUGAAGGAUUUCCAGAGCUCUGUCCUCAUCUCCAAGAGUCGUUUUUCUGUAAUCCUCCGGAUUAUUGGCUGUGAGCGCCAUUAAAAUUUUAUUUUAAUGCUCUAUUUUAAAAAUUAAAUGGCAGAGGAUUUCUUAAAUUUAUGUCAUGUAACUGCUUUCCUAUGAAGCUCUGUCAGUUGCAGAGAGCCAGCCAUCUGCACUUGAACAAAUCUGUUAAAAACCUGCCUCUCAUAACCCUGACAAUGGAAAUAGUUGCCAGACAGGUAAAGAUUCAGGGUGACCUCUCCUGGAGUGAAGGAACGAGGGGUUCGGAGGGACUUUCGAGGGUCGCUGUCUUGCAGAUGCGGGGUGUCCCUGCGCCCCCAUCUCCGCCGCUGCGCCCUAACUGUGUGUCCCCCUUCUGUCCUCAGAGGCUGCCGGCGCGGACCCAGACACAAGGCGGGCGGCGACUAGUGGCUUCACUGGCUGCCUCUCGGCGGUGCGCUUCGGCCAUGCUGCUCCCCUGAAGGCGGCGCUGCGCCCCAGCGGCCCCUCCCGGGUCACCGUCCGCGGCCACGUGGCCCCUAUGGCCCGCUGCGCGGCGGGGGCGGCGUCUGGCUCCCCGGCGCGGGAACUGGCUCCCCGACUCGCGGGGGGCGCAGGUCGUUCUGGACCAGCGGAUGAGGGAGAGCCCUUGGUUAAUGCAGACAGAAGAGACUCUGCU